rnacentral:lncRNA from 1 species
GGGUGUGGGCAUGUUCAAUAGAAGAACUAGGGCUAGAAGACGAGGCAGAGAAGCCAAGCAAUGCGCUCUUAACUAGAGCUUGGUCACCAGGCUGGAGCAACGCUGAUAAGACACUAACCGAGUUCAUCGAGAAACAGUUGAUAGACUACGCAAAGAACAGCAAGAAAGUAGUUGGGAACUCAACCUCGAUGCUCUCUCCCUAUCUCCACUUCGGGGAAAUAAGCGUCAGACGUGUUUUCCAGUGCGUCCGUAUGAAAAAAAUCAUAUGGGCAAGAGACAAAAACACUGAAGGAGAAGAGAGCGCUGAUCUUUUCCUUAGAGGGAUUGGUCAAAGAGAGUAUUCUCGGUAUAUAUGUUUCAACUUCCCUUUUACUCACGAGCAGUCCUUGUUGAGUCAUCUUCGUUUCUUCCCUUGGGACGCUGACGUUGGCAAGUUCAAGGCGUGGAGUCAAGGCAGGACUGGGUAUCCGUUGGUGGAUGCUGGGAUGAGGGAGCUUUGGGCUACUGGAUGGAUGCAUAACAGGAUAAGAGUCAUUGUUUCGAGCUUUGCUGUGAAGUUUCUCCUUCUUCCGUGGAAAUGGGGAAUGAAGUAUUUUUGGGAUACUCUUUUGGAUGCUGAUUUGGAAUGUGACAUCAUUGGCUGGCAGUAUAUCUCCGGGAGCUUACCUGAUGGCCACGAGCUUGAUCGCUUGGACAAUCCUGCGGUAAACUUACAUAUCUUUUACUAUAGAACUUGGUUUUCGGGUCCUCGAAUAUAUGGGCCUUACUUAAGCCCAUAUAUUGUAUUAUUAUCUACGGAUCUUUUUCCUAAUUUAAAUCUGAAUUUAUUAUUUAUUUAUUCCUUGGAGAUAAGUGGCAUGACACAGCAGCUCUUCGAUAUCUCCGAUAAAUAGAGACCGUAGUGAGCUCCCAAAGGCUAUAACUCACGAGCCUCCCCAGAAACCUCAAAUACCGAUCCAUUUCCCGGCGAUAAUCGACGAUCUAGAUCCGAUGGCGAAGGAACCAGUUCGCGUUCUCGUUACCGGUGCUGCAGGUAGCUUUAGCUUUUCUCAGAUCUUUGAUUUUUGACCUCGUGCUUACUGUAGUCAGAUCUCUGUGUAGUCGAUGUUAUAGAUCGAUGAAUCAGACGUUGAUUCUAGUGAUAGGAUGAGAUCUGAUUAGAUCCUCAUUUUGCUAGGCUUGAAACGAACCAUGUGAUUUUUAUAGUCUGAUGCUCCGUGGUAUUGUAAUCAUGCAUGAACCAGUUAAAACUGUAGAGUUUUGAUCUAGAAGCUGACGUGUUACCACAACGCUGAAGUCAACUUUAUUUAUUUAUUUAUUAUUUUAUUUGAUAGCAUAUUCAUGUUUGUUCGUUGACUAAAUUGGAUAUCUUAUUAUUUUAUAGAUUGAAAACGGUUUUGGUUAACUCUAUAUUGUAUGAUUUGGAUAUAGUUUAUAGUUUGUGAAUGAAAACGAUUGUGAUUUUUGAUGCAGGACAAAUUGGAUACGCUCUUGUCCCUAUGAUUGCGAGAGGUAUCAUGCUUGGUGCUGACCAGCCUGUGAUCCUCCACAUGUUGGAUAUUCCUCCUGCUGCUGAAGCACUCAACGGUGUCAAGAUGGAGUUGAUCGAUGCUGCUUUCCCCCUUCUCAAAGGUAGUUUCAUUUUCUGAUGUUGUAUUUUCAUUUUUUGCUCAAGUGAGAGAGAUAAUGAACAUUUGACGUGUUUUGUUCAGGUGUUGUUGCUACAACUGAUGCCGUUGAGGGAUGCACUGGAGUCAACGUUGCUGUUAUGGUUGGUGGUUUCCCGAGGAAAGAAGGAAUGGAGAGGAAGGAUGUUAUGACCAAGAACGUCUCCAUUUACAAGUCUCAGGCUACUGCUUUGGAGAAGCAUGCCGCUCCAAACUGCAAGGUAAAAAAAGAUCUGCGUGUCUUUUAAAUCAGUUUCUUUCUUGAAGACAAAAACAAAUGCUUUAUAUUCUCAAUUGGGUUCUAGUUUGUGAGACUCUUUCUCAAGACAUUUUUCUCUUUUUUUUUUAAUUUUCAGGUUCUUGUUGUUGCAAACCCUGCAAACACCAACGCAUUGAUCCUGAAGGAAUUUGCACCAUCCAUCCCUGAGAAGAACAUUACCUGUCUGACAAGGCUUGACCACAACAGGGCCUUGGGUCAGAUCUCCGAGAGGUUGAGCGUGCCCGUGUCUGAUGUUAAGAACGUGAUCAUCUGGGGAAACCACUCAUCCUCACAGUACCCAGAUGUCAACCACGCUAAGGUGCAGACAUCGGCUGGAGAGAAGCCAGUCCGUGAGCUCGUCAAGAACGAUGAAUACUUGAAUGGAGAAUUCAUCACCACCGUUCAGCAACGUGGAGCUGCUAUCAUCAAGGCGAGGAAGUUGUCAAGUGCACUUUCUGCUGCUAGCUCUGCUUGUGACCACAUCCGUGACUGGGUCCUUGGAACUCCAGAGGUUCAUAAUAACCCUCUUCCCAUUAUUCGCAGACCCGUUAUAAUAAACAGAUGAUUGUUGUUCUAAUAUGAGGUCUUUCUUUUGUUCAGGGUACAUUUGUUUCAAUGGGAGUAUACUCCGAUGGCUCUUACGACGUUCCAGCUGGACUUAUCUACUCCUUCCCUGUCACUUGCCGCAAUGGAGAGUGGAGUAUUGUCCAAGGUAAGAACAAGCCUUUACAAUUCAAAUACUUAAUUCUGAAUACCUUACCGUGUUCAUGCUAAAUUGAAUUUGUUUGAUCAGGGCUUCCCAUCGAUGAAAUGUCAAGGAAGAAGAUGGAUUUGACAGCAGAGGAGCUGAAGGAAGAGAAGGACUUGGCCUACUCAUGCCUCUCUUAAACAGCCAAUACUCUUCUUCCGAAGCCAUUUUUCAUCUAUCAGGUGUGAGAUCAUCAUAGCUGUUAGGGCUGUGUCUGAAUAAGAUCUCCAAACACUGUUUUAUAACCUCUUUGUGGGUUUGUCUUCGUAUUGAGCAUUGUCCCUGGUUUGUUUCUAAACCAGGAUAUCGUUUACUCUGUGGUUCAUGUGUCUUGUAUGGUUUUAUCCAUAAUAAUUUUUUAAAAAAUUGGUAACUUCAUGUUCUCCAUUAGUUUUGGUCUUAGUCAGUACUCAGUAGCCCAAAACUGAUACCGAGUUUGUGCAGUUAUGGGGAAUGGCGUUGUGUUGCAAGAGGGAACGUCUGGUUCUUGAACACUAGAUUAGAGGUUUCUAUUCUCGAUGGCCCAAUGAAUCAGAAAUCGAAUCAGAUUCAUGAGCCCACCAUGUAAAUGAAGAUAACUCAAUUUCCGCACUAAAGGCCUUACUAAAAUACUUCAAACAAAAUUUAAUUCCUUGUUAAAUAUCUAACGAUCCCAAGAAAAAAAUCUUGGAUGAGCAAAUGAAAAUGAGAUUUCAGUUAAAGAAAAGAUCCAAUAAUAUUGGAUUGCAACUAGUUUAGUGGAUAAAAGUUGUCUAACUACUUUUGUCUUGUGGAUAGAGUUGUCCACAUAUCUUGCAUGUGGCUAGUGUUACUCUACUCAACCAAACAUAAUCCCCAAGGUAAGAGUUCCUAGAUUGUUCUUGAUUAUACUUUCCUGGUUAGGCCAAGGCUUGUUUCUUAUUUAGUAGAUUUUCAUCUUUUGUUUUCUGACAGCUUCGUUGAAUCAUUCUCUGUUAGCUAUAUGUAUGAGCUUGUGGUCUGAAAAUUAAAUCAUGGCAGAAUCUGGACAGAGAGUGAAGCUUUAGCUGAUUUGGUCUCCAUCUCGGAUCAUAAACUAUGGCGACGAACAGAAAGACUAUAGUGUGGUUCAGAAGAGACUUAAGGAUCGAGGAUAACCCUGCACUAGCAGCAGCUGCUCGCGAAGGAUCAGUCUUCCCUGUUUUCAUUUGGUGCCCUGAAGAAGAAGGUCAGUUUCAUCCAGGAAGGGCUUCAAGAUGGUGGAUGAAACAGUCUCUUGCUCACUUGAACCAAUCCUUGAAGUCUCUUGGCUCCCACCUCACGUUUAUCAAAACACAUAGCACGGUUUCCGCUAUCUUGGACUGUGUCCGCGCCACUGGUGCCACAAAAGUCGUCUUCAACCACCUCUAUGGUAACUCAUCUUCAGUUCAUUUGGUUAGUUUAUCGAAUAUGCUUAGUUUUAAUGAAGUUAUGGUUUCCUUGGUUGUAGAUCCUGUUUCGCUAGUUAGAGACCAUAACGUAAAGGAGAAACUUAUGGAACGUGGGAUCUCUGUGCAAGGCUACAACGGUGAUCUAUUGUAUGAGCCUUGGGAGAUAAACUCCGAAAAUGGCAAACCUUUUACGAGUUUUGCUCCUUACUGGAAGAAAUGCUUAGACAUGUCGGUUGAAUCCGUUAUGCUUCCUCCUCCUUGGCGUUUGAUGCCUCUAACUGCAGGUAAAAUACCCAGGGCCGGUCCUGAGAUUUUAGACCCUGUAGGCGAUUUAGUAAAAAUUUCAACAACUUUUUUUUAAAAAAAUUGGGGACUUAUAUCUAAAUCAUUUUCAUUCGGUUUUGCCCAGGACCGGCCCUGGUAAAACCUUAAAAGAAUAUGUAAAAAGAACAUAAAACAUUUUCGACUUUUAUGGGGACACAACUGUUGAAAAAGUGUGUGUGUUUCUGUGUUCUUUAGCAGCUGAAGGGGUGUGGGCAUGUUCAAUAGAAGAACUAGGGCUAGAAGACGAGGCAGAGAAGCCAAGCAAUGCGCUCUUAACUAGAGCUUGGUCACCAGGCUGGAGCAACGCUGAUAAGACACUAACCGAGUUCAUCGAGAAACAGUUGAUAGACUACGCAAAGAACAGCAAGAAAGUAGUUGGGAACUCAACCUCGAUGCUCUCUCCCUAUCUCCACUUCGGGGAAAUAAGCGUCAGACGUGUUUUCCAGUGCGUCCGUAUGAAAAAAAUCAUAUGGGCAAGAGACAAAAACACUGAAGGAGAAGAGAGCGCUGAUCUUUUCCUUAGAGGGAUUGGUC